AGAGCGAACGCUGGCGGCAGGCCUAACACAUGCAAGUCGAGCGCCCCGCAAGGGGAGCGGCAGACGGGAGAGUAACACGUGGGAACGUACCCUUUGGUUCGGAACAACACAGGGAAACUUGUGCUAAUACCGGAUAAGCCCUUACGGGGAAAGAUUUAUUGCCAAAGGAUCGGCCCGCGUCUGAUUAGCUUGUUGGUGAGGUAACGGCUCACCAAGGCUACGAUCAGUAGCUGGUCUGAGAGGAUGAUCAGCCUCACUGGGACUGAGACACGGCCCAGACUCCUACGGGAGGCAGCAGUGGGGAAUAUUGGACAAUGGGCGCAAGCCUGAUCCAGCCAUGCCGCGUGGAUGAUGAAGGCCCUAGGGUUGUAAAGUCCUUUCGACGGGGAAGAGUAAUGACGGUACCCGUAGAAGAAGCCCGGCUAACUUCGUGCCAGCAGCCGC
rnacentral:rRNA from 1 species